UACGUAGGGUGCGAGCGUUAAUCGGAAUUACUGGGCGUAAAGGGCGCGUAGGCGGCCUACUAAGUCGGACGUGAAAUCCCUCGGCUCAACCGAGGAACUGCGUCCGAUACUGGCGAGGCUUGAAUUCGGGAGAGGGAUGUGGAAUUCCAGGUGUAGCGGUGAAAUGCGUAGAUAUCUGGAGGAACACCGGUGGCGAAGGCGGCAUCCUGGACCGACAUUGACGCUGAGGAGCGAAAGCUAGGGGAGCAAACGGG
rnacentral:rRNA from 1 species